rnacentral:rRNA from 1 species
AUACGGAGGAUCCGAGCGUUAUCCGGAUUUAUUGGGUUUAAAGGGUGCGCAGGCGGAAGAUUAAGUCGGUGGUGAAAUUUUGCAGCUCAACUGUAAAAGUGCAAUUGAUACUGGUUUUCUUGAGUGUGGAUGAAGUAGGCGGAAUUUGAGGUGUAGCGGUGAAAUGCAUAGAUAUCACGAGGAACUCCGAUUGCGCAGGCAGCUUACUAAACCAUAACUGACGCUCAGGCACGAAGGCGUGGGGAUCAAACAGGAUUAGAUUCCCUGGUAGUCCACGCAGUAAACUAUUAUUACUCGCUGUUUGCGAUACACAGCAAGCGGCUUAGCGAAAGCGUUAAGUAAUCCACCUGGGGAG